GGGGGCAUAGCUCAGCUGGGAGAGCAACAGACUGAAGUUAUUUAAGUGGUGAUGUGUUCUGGAGGUCCCCGGUUCAAUCCCGGGUGCCCCCA